UACAGAGGUGGCGAGCGUUAUUCGGAAUUAUUGGGCGUAAAGGGCGCGUAGGCGGCUUGACAAGUCCCGGGUGAAAUCCCUCGGCUCAACCGAGGAACUGCCUUGGAAACUGUCUGGCUUGAGGCCGGGAGAGGGUAGUGGAAUUCCCAGUGUAGCGGUGAAAUGCGCAGAUAUCAGGAGGAACACCGGUGGCGAAGGCGGGUCUCUGGGCCGUAACUGACGCUGAGGAGCGAAAGCGUGGGGAGCGAACAGG
rnacentral:rRNA from 1 species